rnacentral:rRNA from 1 species
UACAGAGGUCCCGAGCGUUGUUCGGAUUCAUUGGGCGUAAAGGGUGCGUAGGCGGCGGGGUAAGUCAGGUGUGAAAUCUCGGGGCUCAACCCCGAAACUGCACUUGAUACUGCCUCGCUUGAGUACUGGAGAGGAGACUGGAAUUUACGGUGUAGCAGUGAAAUGCGUAGAUAUCGUAAGGAAGACCAGUGGCGAAGGCGAGUCUCUGGACAGUUACUGACGCUGAGGCACGAAGGCCAGGGGAGCAAACGGG